rnacentral:pre_miRNA from 1 species
UUAACUCAAUGAGUUGGAACGUUUGGCUACGUUUGCCGCUAGGGGCGCUGUUCCAACUGCAUACAAAAUUGAGUUA